rnacentral:rRNA from 1 species
UGGGGAAUAUUGGUCAAUGGGCGAAAGCCUGAACCAGCAAUGCCGCGUGAGUGAUGAAGGCCUUCGGGUUGUAAAGCUCUGUCGGGAGGGACGAAAAAACAGCUUAACAAACUGUAUUGACGGUACCUCCAAAGGAAGCACCGGCUAACUCUGUGCCAGCAGCCGCGGUAAUACAGAGGGUGCAAGCGUUGUUCGGAAUUACUGGGCGUAAAGCGCGUGUAGGUGGCGAUGUAAGUCGGGUGUGAAAUCCCUUGGCUUAACCAAGGAAGUGCACUCGAUACUGUGUCGCUUGAGUAUCGGAGGGGGUGGCGGAAUUCCCGGUGUAGAGGUGAAAUUCGUAGAUAUCGGGAGGAACACCUGUGGCGAAGGCGGCCACCUGGACGAUUACUGACACUGAGACGCGAAAGCGUGGGUAGCAAACAGG